rnacentral:lncRNA from 1 species
UUAAGUUUUUAAAAAGCAAUAUGCAUUUCUUAGGCAUUUUAUUAAGUAAGUCUUAUACAUGCCACAGCACACAGAGUUAGAUAUCCAUGUAAUAUCCCUCCUAAUAUAUCCAAGUUCCAGAAUAAUAUCCCCUCUUAGACUAAUGUGCUGUCAUGAACUAGGUACCAGAAAAUAAAAGAUAUACUAAUACUGUAUUGAAAAGGAAUUGUUUUGAGCUCUAAGUGAGUAAGAGAACAAGUAAAUGCAUCCGCUAUAAUUUUCAAUCAGGCAUUCUAUUGUUCAGAGAACUAGAUGACAAUAUAAGAACACUGAAAGUAUUUUUCUUUUCAGCAGAGGAGAGGAAACAUAUAGGAUCUGUGACUAAAUUAGGCUGACAGGUUGAUUUAAUGCCGCCAGGAACCUGCUGUUUGCAGACAUGAUUGCAAUGGCUCUAUUAUGUAACAGAACAAUGAUUUUCAAAGAUUUGUGAUAAACACAUUCAGUAGAAAAUAUAAUAACAA